UCGGGAAUUUUCCACAAUGGGCGCAAGCCUGAUGGAGCAACACCGCGUGCAGGAGUAAGGCCUUCGGGUUGUAAACUGCUUUUAUUUGUGACGAUUUUGACGGUAGCAAAUGAAUAAGGACCUGCUAACUACGUGCCAGCAGCCGCGGUCAUACGUAGGGUCCAAGCGUUAUCCGGAAUUACUGGGCGUAAAGAGUUGCGUAGGUGGCCUAGAAAGCGAAUAGUGAAAGCGUGCGGCUCAACCGCAUAUCCAUUAUUUGAACUACUAAGCUAGAGUAUGGGAGAGGUAGAUGGAAUUUCUAGUGUAGGAGUGAAAUCCGUAGAUAUUAGAAGGAACACCGAUGGCGUAGGCAGUCUACUGGCCCAUUACUGACACUAAGGCACGAAAGCGUGGGGAGCGAACGGGAUUAGAUACCCCCGUAGUCC
rnacentral:rRNA from 1 species